GACGAACCGUGCGAACGUUAUUCGGAAUCACUGGGCUUAAAGCGCGCGUAGGCGGCUCUUCAAGUCGAGUGUGAAAGCUCCAGGCUUAACCUGGGAAUUGCGCUCGAUACUGUUGAGCUAGAGUGUGGAAGGGGCUACUGGAAUUCCGUGUGUAGCGGUGAAAUGCGUAGAGAUCGGGAGGAACAUCAGUGGCGAAGGCGGCCAUCUGGGACAACACUGACGCUGAAGCACGAAAGCGUGGGGAGCAAACAGG
rnacentral:rRNA from 1 species